rnacentral:rRNA from 1 species
AUUGAACGCUGGCGGCAUGCUUUACACAUGCAAGUCGGACGGUAACAGGCCUUCGGGUGCUGACGAGUGGCGAACGGGUGAGUAAUGCAUCGGAACGUACCCAGAGGUGGGGGAUAACGCAGCGAAAGCUGUGCUAAUACCGCAUGUGAUCUGAGGAUGAAAGCGGGGGACCGAGCAGCAAUGUUUGGCCUCGCGCCUUUGGAGCGGCCGAUGUCGGAUUAGCUAGUUGGUGGGGUAAAGGCCUACCAAGGCGACGAUCCGUAGCUGGUCUGAGAGGACGACCAGCCACACUGGGACUGAGACACGGCCCAGACUCCUACGGGAGGCAGCAGUGGGGAAUUUUGGACAAUGGGCGCAAGCCUGAUCCAGCAAUGCCGCGUGCGGGAAGAAGGCCUUCGGGUUGUAAACCGCUUUUGGCAGGAACGAAACGGUGUCCGCUAAUACCGGGCGCUAAUGACGGUACCUGCAGAAUAAGCACCGGCUAACUACGUG